rnacentral:rRNA from 1 species
UACGAAGGGGGCUAGCGUUGUUCGGAAUUACUGGGCGUAAAGCGCACGUAGGCGGAUUUGUAAGUCAGGGGUGAAAUCCCGGGGCUCAACCUCGGAACUGCCUUUGACACUGCAAGUCUUGAGUCCGAUAGAGGUGAGUGGAAUUCCUAGUGUAGAGGUGAAAUUCGUAGAUAUUAGGAAGAACACCAGUGGCGAAGGCGGCUCACUGGAUCGGUACUGACGCUGAGGUGCGAAAGCGUGGGGAGCAAACAGG